GAGCCUUCCAGCUCUCUGGAAAGAUUUCCUAGGAUGAAUGUUAUAAUCUGAGACGGUCUCUUGUAGAAGGAACUGACAGACAGGCAUCCAGAGACACAUGGAAGUGACAUUUCCUGAGCUGUGUGCCACAAAAAAGAAUCCAGCAAGCAAAUGUAGAAACCAAAUGUGAAAUUCCUCCCACAGAUGAAGAAAAAAAAAAAAAAAGGAAAAAAGAGCAAAACCAUAUUAGCAUCUUUUGUGGCAGUCAAGGGAAAGGCAAGGAGGACAUCAGUCAGGACGUAACAUGUUUAUGCCUUUGGCUUUCUCACUGGGCAGAAAAUCCCCAGAGGGGUUCUGUGCUGGCUAAGAUCCCAGACAGCUACGACCUGAGAGGCUCCAAAGACUCAAUAGAGGGCAAGACUAACUGGGAUGCAGGAGGGCCACUACAGAUCCUGAACUCUAUAUGGAUAUCUUCAGAGUCUUGGCAGCUGCCAGGUGAAGAAAGGACCACAGUGGGAUCUGGAGAACCAUUUCAAAUUCCAAAAUCUCUGUGGAGGUCAACUUACUCUUCAAACAGAUCUACUGAUUUCCUGUGACAAUCUAUCCAAUUAAGCUUGCUACUGUCACCCCUUGGAAUUGUUCAAAAGUGAAAGAGACUGCAGAUGUUAGAUUUCCCUAGUACUCAAAAAAAAGAAAAAACUUUUUUUGUGAGAGAUAUUGCAGACAUCACAAAAUCCGUCUCUGAAUCAAGAUGUUUUGGUAGAAG
rnacentral:lncRNA from 1 species